AUUUGUGUGGACAUAAACUAUUUUCGCCGUUAUAUAUAUAUGAAAACGCCGAAUGUGAGGAAAAAUAAGAAGACAUAGGUGUUUGUACCCAAAUAAAUAUGAUAAAAAAAAAAAAAAAACAAGAUUGAUUCAUGAUUCUUUUGAUCUUAUUUGAUUCCUUUACAAAAUUGAUUGGGAAAAUUCCAUUAAAAUCCCUCAACUAAAUUACGAUAAGCUUUUUAAUACCCCAACU
rnacentral:lncRNA from 1 species